rnacentral:tRNA from 1 species
GCCGGAUUAGCUCAGCUGGUAGAGCAGCGGUUUUGUAAACCGAAGGUCGGGGGUUCGAGUCCCUCAUCCGGCACCA